rnacentral:lncRNA from 1 species
CUCUUCUUUGUUUGUGAACUCCAACUUGUCCCCCAAUAUUCAUUUCUAAUUUUAGUUUUUCCAGGAAGAUUUUCCUGGCCAUCACUUUCUCUUCUCCCUUUUAGCCUCUUUAUAAUUGGCGCAUCCCUCUGUCCUAAUGCCUAGUGCCUUGUAUUCUGCCACUGUACCAACUUGUUUCCUAAUUCACCAGCUCCUGCAGGAAAAACUGUGAUCCAUCUUUGGAGCCCAGGGUGAACACUUGUUGUUUGCCUUCCCACCUCCAUUCUUCUUCUCUUGUUCUUUUUUUUGGUAACAGCUUCUAAUUUUAAUCUGGGAUAUUACCUUGUGUUCCUUCAUUCUCUGUCCAGGUAGCUCAGAUAUGGUCCCAUUCACCUGUCAAAGAGAUGCUUGUGAUUGAGGGCUCAGUGUAUCAGAAGAUCCCAUCUCCUUGGUUGAGUCAAAGAGACCCUCUUUUCCCUUUCCUGAAUCCUGCUCAGGGGGAACACAGCUUGAGUGGCCUCUUCUGCCCACGUACACCCCCACACAAACAUGGAAACACACCUUUUCAGGAGAGAAUUAACAAACUGAACUCUUCCUACCCCAUGGAAUGUCCUGUUUCUAGAAUGUGACUGCUCAAGGAGAAAGAGAGUUUCAAUUGUCAUUUGUCAGAGGAACUUCAUGUUUGGGAGAAUUUUUAUAAUGGUCCUUGCAUUUGGCAGUUCCAAACUUGAGGGAGAAGGCUCAAAAUUGUGAGGGACAGGACUGGCCCUUUUGCUGUCUUUGUUGAUGGGGGCCGGAUUCAGGAUUGGGCCCGGGGUGAUGGGCAGAGGGCGGUCUUGGGUUCCUUGGGUAGGCAGAGGGAAACCUGGCAGCUUGUUGAGUCCUCCCAGGAAGCCAGUGACCCUGUUGGGGCUCUUGAGAUGGCAGGCUGAGUAGGCUCCCGGCUGGGUGGGGAGAGGCUAAAAGGGACAUUGGUGGUGGGAUAAAGCUCAGAUCCAUCUGCCUGGGGGGAGAGGAGUGAUGGGGUGAGGGAGGUUGGAAAGGGUGUUGGGCAGAUCCCAGGACCCUCUUCAAGGGCAGAGCUUCUAUGCUGUCAUACCAUUUGUGAUCCAUGUGGCUGGCACAGAGUAAACCACAGGGAGCUCUCAAAUCCAUUUUAGGUGACAGCUCUGUCUCCUUUUUCAGGUCUUUAUGCUCUUCCUAAAGCAGAGCUUGUCUUGCUCUUCCCUUCCUCGAACAAUCUUGCUGGCACCUUGGCCUAGUUUAGUAUGCAUAGCUCUUUGUGGUCAAAACCCUGCCUUCACACCUACCCCAUUUCUCUCUGCUCCUCAGUGUGCUUCCCAUGCUCGUGCAUCCUAGACAUUGACUCUUCCCCAAACAAGCCAGGCCUUGCCGUUUCCUCAUUGCUUUUUAAUAGGCCAUUCCCAGGAAAGUUCAAUUCCCUUUCCUAGCUCUGGCAAACUCCUGUUCAGCCUUGAAGACCCAUGAUUGGAAAUUCCCUCUUCUGGACAGCCAUUUCCAUUGCUUUAUAUUGCCAUUCGAGAGGUCCUUUUGUACUAAGGCAAUUAUACAUUUGUAUGACUGUUUUUGUCAUAGGCUGUAGGAUCCUCAAAGGCAAGACAUAUCUGUUUCCCACAAGAAGCAGGAUGGUUUAGUGGCUGGGUGAGCAAGGUCUGGAGUCAGAUAGCCUGGGCUCAGAUCUUGGCACCGCAGUUUAUUAGAUAUCCACUCUUGGGCAAGUUCUUUUAAGACACAAGUUCGCUGUGUCUUAGUCUACUCAACCAUAAAAUGAAUUAAUAGUAUUUUAACUACAUGAUUGUUUCAAGAAUUAAAUGAAUAUAUAUAUAUAUAUAUAUAUCACAAUGAGAGUGGUAUUUGAUAUAGUACUAAAUAAAUCUGAUAUAAUAUUUGAAAUAGGCUGAGCAUAGAGGCUCACACCUGUAAUCCCAGCAUUUUGGGAGACUGAGGCAGGAAGAUUUCUUGAGCCCAGGAGGUUGAGACUGUAGUGAGCUAUGAUUGAACCACUCUCCUUCAGCCUGGGUGACAGAGCAAGACCCUGUCUCAAAUGACAACAAAAAACAAAGCCAUCAUAAGGCACAGUACCUGGAACAUAAUGGAGAUUUACAUACAUAUUUUUAGAUAAAUUCUACUACUAUCUCCCUCUCUCCCUUCUCUUUAGCCCCCCUCCCCCUCUUCCCACCCUCCCUAACUUGCUUGCUUCCUUCCUUCCUUACACCUAUCUUCCUUUCUUUUCUUUCUCCCUUCUUUACUCCCUGAGUCUCUGGCCCACCAUUGGUCCUCACAGAGCCACUAGGCUCCUCUAGGGACCCUGAGAGCUGAAAGGUCCAAUGACUUCCAAACUCUUCUCCAUGAAACUUCUAUAGUAGAGGCUCCUGGGGAAAGGAGGGAUGGAUGAUGAGAGCCAGGGAGUUGGUGUGAACAGCUGAGCCCUGGAAGAUAGGUGGCUAACCUGAUGGGAUAGAAGGGGGCAAAUGGGAAGUGAGGGAGGGACAGACAUGGAAAGAAACGGGCAGGGAAGUCCCCUUCAGUAAUGGAGGCAGAGGCUAGAGGGGCUGCCCUUGCAGCCCAUAGAUACAUAAUCCCUGCCCUCCAGAAUCUUUCCAGAUACUGAGGAGGGAGGAAGAGGAAUGAGAAUGAGCAAGGCAGAACAAGAACAGGAAAAACAUCUUUCCUUUUCUGGCAGGGCUGCUCUGAUGAAUUUGAGCCACCUGAAUCACCUGUGCUCACCCACUCUGGAGAAAGAAUCUCAAGCUUUGGGUCUGGACUUCCGAUCCAGCUCCUCCACUUAUCUGGUGUGUGGCUUCAGGCAAGUUCCAGAGCCUGUGAGGGCCUAAACUUCCUUCUUAGUGAACGGGGCUCUACUCCCUUAUCCUUCCCAGGGAGUCAGGGGUUGCACAGAUAAAUUAAGGUACAGUUUGGAUAUGCAUUGGAAAGUGUUGCAGAUGGGCAAGGUCUCUGUCAUCAUGAUGGUGACCUGGAGGAUCAGGUGGCAGAGGCGUCUUACAGCAAGAGCCUCCAAGAACCUUCCAGAAUUGGACAUCUACUAGUGCUGUGGGCAGGCUUGGCUCCCAGCCUUCUGCAUCCCAGAAGGGCUGACUACCUUCUCUCCUGGGAUACAUUCCAAUUAAAAAUUACCUGGAAGGAGGAGGGGGCCAGUAUGUGGGGCCUGAGGACACGGCAUGAUACUCUCUUCCCUCGCCUCCUCUAGGAAGACCCCUCUCCUGGGGAGGAGCAGGAAAAAUAGCAGCUGUUUAAAAAUUUGGUAACAGUCCCAAAUAAAAGCUGCAGUGGAGUUCAAUAGUCAGUCCUUGAUUGGAAGCCAAGGUAAGCCAGGAAGGAGAAGCGGGGUCCCCCAGUGGGUUCAGAUCCUGCAGGGGAGUCUGGGACAGACAGGGACAGCAAAUUUGCAGUGAGACUGAGAAGGCCAGGGCUUAGCAGCUUUUCCUGGAAGAACUGGGUAUCUUGGGCACUGACAUCCAGGACUCUGAAAAGCUGGGUACUUUUAGGGGAGGGGGAGAAAAGGGAGUUAAAAAACAAAGAUCCUUUCCUUCUCUCUCUUCCUCGUAUUCCUUUUUCUGAUCUCAGUGAGCAGGUCUUGGUUUACUGCCGACACGUUUCAUAAACAUGAAACAUCUUCCUCCUUCCUCAGACAGGCUAUCUUUCUUUAUUCUUAUCCUUUUGUUUUAAAGCAUUUUUAUUAGUCUUUUUUUUUCUUAAACUUUUAAACAGCUGUUUAUAAAAACACAACAAAUACACAACACAAAACUUGGCAAAAAUAACUCACUAUAUGGUACAUAUACUCAGAUGACGUGAUAUAUUUAUAUAAUAAAAGAUGAAAAUAGUCACUUUCCAUAAUAAAAAUAAGUUCUAUUUUUUGUUUAUUUUACAAUAUACUUAAUAUUCUCUUCUUCUUUAGCUUCCUCUCCAGCUUUGUCUCCUUCACGCUGAAUCUCCAGGGGUCCCACAUGGCUGUUCCAGCCUCACCAAGCUGG